UGGCUGUCGUGGUCAAAAAGUUAGGAGGUUGCCUUGAGCCUUGGGCGUCGCUUCACACUCCACUUGUUCACGUGUGCCUUACUCGGAAUUUCGGGUCGCUCAUCCUACUCGUGUGUGUAAACCACGAUUGCUAGGGGGCGUUAAGCAAUGGAGAUGACCCUUGAGGGAAGCAAUUCUGCAGAGACAUCCCCACCCGGAGUUGGCGAUGUGAGAUUACACCGUGGCAAGAUAUGCGCAGUUUCGGGCUUGUUGGGCAAUCAACUUUUUU
rnacentral:SRP_RNA from 1 species